rnacentral:rRNA from 1 species
ACAGGGUGACAGCCCCGUACACAAAAAUGCACAUAUUGUGAGCUCGAUGAGUAGGGCGGGACACGUGGUAUCCUGUCUGAAUAUGGGGGGCCCAUCCUCCAAGGCUAAAUACUCCUGACUGACCGAUAGUGAACCAGUACCGUGAGGGAAAGGCGAAAAGAACCCCGGCGAGGGGAGUGAAAAAGAACCUGAAACCGUGUACGUACAAGCAGUGGGAGCACGCUUAGGCGUGUGACUGCGUACCUUUUGUAUAAUGGGUCAGCGACUUAUAUUCUGUAGCAAGGUUAACCGAAUAGGGGAGCCGAAGGGAAACCGAGUCUUAACUGGGCGUUAAGUUGCAGGGUAUAGACCCGAAACCCGGUGAUCUAGCCAUGGGCAGGUUGAAGGUUGGGUAACACUAACUGGAGGACCGAACCGACUAAUGUUGAAAAAUUAGCGGAUGACUUGUGGCUGGGGGUGAAAGGCCAAUCAAACCGGGAGAUAGCUGGUUCUCCCCGAAAGCUAUUUAGGUAGCGCCUCGUGAAUUCAUCUCCGGGGGUAGAGCACUGUUUCGGCAAGGGGGUCAUCCCGACUUACCAACCCGAUGCAAACUGCGAAUACCGGAGAAUGUUAUCACGGGAGACACACGGCGGGUGCUAACGUCCGUCGUGAAGAGGGAAACAACCCAGACCGCCAGCUAAGGUCCCAAAGUCAUGGUUAAGUGGGAAACGAUGUGGGAAGGCCCAGACAGCCAGGAUGUUGGCUUAGAAGCAGCCAUCAUUUAAAGAAAGCGUAAUAGCUCACUGGUCGAGUCGGCCUGCGCGGAAGAUGUAACGGGGCUAAACCAUGCACCGAAGCUGCGGCAGCGACGCUUAUGCGUUGUUGGGUAGGGGAGCGUUCUGUAAGCCUGCGAAGGUGUGCUGUGAGGCAUGCUGGAGGUAUCAGAAGUGCGAAUGCUGACAUAAGUAACGAUAAAGCGGGUGAAAAGCCCGCUCGCCGGAAGACCAAGGGUUCCUGUCCAACGUUAAUCGGGGCAGGGUGAGUCGACCCCUAAGGCGAGGCCGAAAGGCGUAGUCGAUGGGAAACAGGUUAAUAUUCCUGUACUUGGUGUUACUGCGAAGGGGGGACGGAGAAGGCUAUGUUGGCCGGGCGACGGUUGUCCCGGUUUAAGCGUGUAGGCUGGUUUUCCAGGCAAAUCCGGAAAAUCAAGGCUGAGGCGUGAUGACGAGGCACUACGGUGCUGAAGCAACAAAUGCCCUGCUUCCAGGAAAAGCCUCUAAGCAUCAGGUAACAUCAAAUCGUACCCCAAACCGACACAGGUGGUCAGGUAGAGAAUACCAAGGCGCUUGAGAGAACUCGGGUGAAGGAACUAGGCAAAAUGGUGCCGUAACUUCGGGAGAAGGCACGCUGAUAUGUAGGUGAAGUCCCUUGCGGAUGGAGCUGAAAUCAGUCGAAGAUACCAGCUGGCUGCAACUGUUUAUUAAAAACACAGCACUGUGCAAACACGAAAGUGGACGUAUACGGUGUGACGCCUGCCCGGUGCCGGAAGGUUAAUUGAUGGGGUCAGCGCAAGCGAAGCUCUUGAUCGAAGCCCCGGUAAACGGCGGCCGUAACUAUAACGGUCCUAAGGUAGCGAAAUUCCUUGUCGGGUAAGUUCCGACCUGCACGAAUGGCGUAAUGAUGGCCAGGCUGUCUCCACCCGAGACUCAGUGAAAUUGAACUCGCUGUGAAGAUGCAGUGUACCCGCGGCAAGACGGAAAGACCCCGUGAACCUUUACUAUAGCUUGACACUGAACAUUGAGCCUUGAUGUGUAGGAUAGGUGGGAGGCUUUGAAGUGUGGACGCCAGUCUGCAUGGAGCCGGCCUUGAAAUACCACCCUUUAAUGUUUGAUGUUCUAACGUGGACCCGUGAUCCGGGUUGCGGACAGUGUCUGGUGGGUAGUUUGACUGGGGCGGUCUCCUCCUAAAGAGUAACGGAGGAGCACGAAGGUUGGCUAAUCCUGGUCGGACAUCAGGAGGUUAGUGCAAUGGCAUAAGCCAGCUUGACUGCGAGCGUGACGGCGCGAGCAGGUGCGAAAGCAGGUCAUAGUGAUCCGGUGGUUCUGAAUGGAAGGGCCAUCGCUCAACGGAUAAAAGGUACUCCGGGGAUAACAGGCUGAUACCGCCCAAGAGUUCAUAUCGACGGCGGUGUUUGGCACCUCGAUGUCGGCUCAUCACAUCCUGGGGCUGAAGUAGGUCCCAAGGGUAUGGCUGUUCGCCAUUUAAAGUGGUACGCGAGCUGGGUUUAGAACGUCGUGAGACAGUUCGGUCCCUAUCUGCCGUGGGCGCUGGAGAACUGAGGGGGGCUGCUCCUAGUACGAGAGGACCGGAGUGGACGCAUCACUGGUGUUCGGGUUGUCAUGCCAAUGGCACUGCCCGGUAGCUAAAUGCGGAAGAGAUAAGUGCUGAAAGCAUCUAAGCACGAAACUUGCCCCGAGAUGAGUUCUCCCUGACCCUUUAAGGGUCCUGAAGGAACGUUGAAGACGACGACGUUGAUAGGCCGGGUGUGUAAGCGCAGCGAUGCGUUGAGCUAACCGGUACUAAUGAACCGUGAGG